rnacentral:lncRNA from 10 species
GAAAAAAAAAAGAUAACCUCAAAAAAAAGGUCCCUAAGAAAGGAAGACUACAAAGCAGGGACCGAAGUCUCUUCUUUCCUGCCUUCUCCUUUCUGGAGCUGGCUCUGUGGUCCACACAGGGCACACCCAUGGGAACCUGGUGAAGGAAGCCUGCAUCAUCCAGUCCCUGGGAGAAAUUGCAGCAGCUCGUCAAAUAGCGGGGUGGCUGUAAUCAUGCUACAGUCUGUGAUCGUAAAAUAGUCUUUACUGAGAAACCAGGGAAGUCAAAAUCUGAAGGCUGGACCGAACUUUCAAAAGCUCUGGCAAAGAAUGAGGAGCCAUGUUGGAGCAGAGGUCUGGCAGAGAAGAGAAGACAAAUGCAGACCAACAUCAUCCAAUGAGAGGGUGACUCUGGCCUUCCAAGGAGAAGACGAGCUCAGGGGCCACAUUCACCAUAGCCAGCCGAGGAUGGAUGUCCUGGCUAUGCAUCGCAGACUUCACUGGACUUAUUUUUGGAAGGGAAGUGAGCACAGCAUUGUUGGAGCUGACCGGGAAAUGGAGUAGACAGCUUGUGUACCCAGGUUGGCAUCUGCUGACUUGGACUAAGAAGCAGAUGUUUCAUUUAGAAGACAAGAGGGAAACAGGGGACUUCUCUGGACACAGAAAGAACCAGCUUUAAGGGCAAUCUGGGUUCUUCCUCAUCUCAAAGAUGACAAUCUAUCUAGCCAUUCCUGAGCGGAAGCCACCAUGAAAAAAGCAACACUAAAGUCCACUGCUGCUCAAAACUAGGCUGACAACAAGCGGAGAGGAGUUAAGGAGAAAGCUAACAUGGUUAGUGCCCAUGGUGUUCGCCAUCUCAAUAAAGCUUCCUCCUUCCACUGAAAGGUGUUAUAAUCUCUAUUUUACGUGGGAAUGUGGCCUCACAGACAUACAGUCACUUGCUCAAGGUUUCAUAGCCUGUUAGAGGAAGAGUCGGGAGGAGUCCAGAUCUGUUUCGUUCUGAAGCCCAUUCUCCUUCCGUGGGCUCUGGAGCAGCGCACAAACAGCGCAGCCGCUGCGUCUGCAGGGGCGACUGCAAGCACACGUUUCAAAAGAACUUCACAGAUGCCAGGCAGUCUGCAUCGUUUUAUGUUACAACGCAGUGCACUGGAGUUCAGUUGACCCUCCGUGUCCACAGCUCCCGAACUCAGGAUUCGACCAACCAUGGAUGGAAAGCAAGGUGUUUUCAGGAUGCCACGCCUGUGGAUAGGGAGAGCUCAUUUGGUUUCCGAGGGUUCCGCAGGGAGGAACGCUGGGCCUGAGUAGCCUUGAAUUUUGGUAUUUGUGGGGGUCCUGGAACGAAUCUGCUGCAGAUACCAAGAGACAGCUAUAUAUAAAGCUGUUACUUCAGUUGUACAGACGGAAAAAAUGUAGCCGUAGAGAGGUUAACCUUGAGCCAGAUUCGGAACUCUAGUUUUUCUGCAUCCGAGACUGGAGUGUUCAGUCCUCCGUGGUGGGGCUCUGUGUCUCCUUCUGAUUCUCCUACUCAAUUGUUGCCCAUAGGCGUGCAGAAAUGGAGGAGGUUAGGGGCUUAAAUACAGCCUCUUGUCACUUAACCACAGAAUACAUUCUAACAAAUGCAUCCUAUGGCCAUCUCCCCAUUGUAUGAACAUCAUAGAGCACUUACACGAACCUCGAUGGUAGACCGUGGAGCGUAGGGGUCCUAAGCCACAGACCUGUGCAGCAUGUGACGGUACUAAAUACUACAGAUAAUUGUAACAUAAUGGCAAAUAUUCAUGUAUCUAAAUAUAACAAAACAGAGGAAAGGUACAGUAAAAAUAGAGUAUAAAAGAAAAACUAGUGCCCCUGUAUAGGGCACUUACUAUGAAUGGAGUUUGCAGGACUGGAAGUUCCUCUGGGUGAGUCAGUGAGAAGAGGCGAGGGAAUAUGAAGGCCUAGGACAUUACUGUACA